AAAUGAAUUGACGGGGGCCCGCACAAGCGGAGGAACAUGUGGUUUAAUUCGAUGAUACGCGAGGAACCUUACCCGGGCUUGAAAUGGAGAGGAAUAUAGGUGAAAGCCGAUAGUCAGUAAUGACCUCUUUGUAGGUGCUGCAUGGUUGUCGUCAGCUCGUGCCGUGAGGUGUCGGCUUAAGUGCCAUAACGAGCGCAACCCUUAUCAUUAGUUACUAACAGGUCGAGCUGAGGACUCUAGUGAGACUGCCGCCGUAAGGUGUGAGGAAGGUGGGGAUGACGUCAAAUCAGCACGGCCCUUACGUCCGGGGCGACACACGUGUUACAAUGGGAAGUACAGAGGGUUGCUACCACGCGAGUGGAUGCUAAUCUCAUAAAACUUUUCUCAGUUCGGAUCGGAGUCUGCAACUCGACUUCGUGAAGCUGGAUUCGCUAGUAAUCGCGCAUCAGCCAUGGCGCGGUGAAUACGUUCCCGGGCCUUGUACACACCGCCCGU
rnacentral:rRNA from 1 species